GAUGAACGCUGGCGGCGUGCCUAAUACAUGCAAGUCGAGCGAACAGACGAGGAGCUUGCUCCUCUGACGUUAGCGGCGGACGGGUGAGUAACACGUGGAUAACCUACCUAUAAGACUGGGAUAACUUCGGGAAACCGGAGCUAAUACCGGAUAAUAUAUUGAACCGCAUGGUUCAAUAGUGAAAGACGGUUUUGCUGUCACUUAUAGAUGGAUCCGCGCCGCAUUAGCUAGUUGGUAAGGUAACGGCUUACCAAGGGAACGAUGCGUAGCCGACCUGAGAGGGUGAUCGGCCACACGGGAACUGAGACACGGUCCAGAGUCCUGCGGGAGGCAGCAGUAGGGAAUCUUCCGCAAUGGGCGAAAGCCUGACGGAGCAGCGCCGCGUGAGUGAUGAAGGUCUUCGGAUCGUAAAACUCUGUUAUUAGGGAAAAACAAAUGUGUAAGUAACUAUGCACGUCUUGACGGUACCUAAUCAGAAAGCCACGGCUAACUACGUG
rnacentral:rRNA from 1 species